rnacentral:rRNA from 1 species
AUUGAACGCUGGCGGCAGGCCUAACACAUGCAAGUCGAACGGUAACAGGAAGCAGCUUGCUGCUUCGCUGACGAGUGGCGGACGGGUGAGUAAUGUCUGGGAAACUGCCUGAUGGAGGGGGAUAACUACUGGAAACGGUAGCUAAUACCGCAUAACGUCGCAAGACCAAAGAGGGGGACCUUCGGGCCUCUUGCCAUCGGAUGUGCCCAGAUGGGAUUAGCUAGUAGGUGGGGUAACGGCUCACCUAGGCGACGAUCCCUAGCUGGUCUGAGAGGAUGACCAGCCACACUGGAACUGAGACACGGUCCAGACUCCUACGGGAGGCAGCAGUGGGGAAUAUUGCACAAUGGGCGCAAGCCUGAUGCAGCCAUGCCGCGUGUAUGAAGAAGGCCUUCGGGUUGUAAAGUACUUUCAGCGGGGAGGAAGGCGAUAAGGUUAAUAACCUUGUCGAUUGACGUUACCCGCAGAAGAAGCACCGGCUAACUCCGUGCCAGCAGCCGCGGUAAUACGGAGGGUGCAAGCGUUAAUCGGAAUUACUGGGCGUAAAGCGCACGCAGGCGGUCUGUCAAGUCGGAUGUGAAAUCCCCGGGCUCAACCUGGGAACUGCAUUCGAAGCUGGCAGGCUAGAGUCUUGUAGAGGGGGGUAGAAUUCCAGGU